rnacentral:rRNA from 1 species
UGAGCCAAGUUUAGGGUUUUCUCAAAACCCAAGCAGUAUUGAACUGAAGAGUUUGAUCAUGGCUCAGAUUGAACGCUGGCGGCAGGCCUAACACAUGCAAGUCGAGCGGAUGAAGAGAGCUUGCUCUCUGAUUCAGCGGCGGACGGGUGAGUAAUGCCUAGGAAUCUGCCUG